CUGGUUUUGGAAAUGGAGUGCAAGCAUGGCAGCAGAGGACAGGUGACAGACAAAGUUUCACUUGACAUACGGUAUUUUACAAUUCAUAAAAUGUUUCAUAUUCAGGAAUAAAUCUCUGUGUAUUUAGUUGAGUCUGUGACUUGGCUUUGUGGAAGUAUGGGGGUGCCGCCAAGGGCCUUCAUACAGUAUGGUAACAUGCUAUGCUAACUAUGCAAACACAGGCCUCUCAGGUGGUUUGGUGUUUAAAUAAGUGUGGCUGUAUAACCUAAAAGCAUGCAAAUGUUUUUUUCCAGCUUUCCCACUGACACCUACCCCUUCACAAUGGUUUCAGGCAUCAAAAAUCUCAGUAUUAAAACUGUACAUCUUGUCACUAAUGGUAUUUGCUUUUUUAUAUCAUAAGAAGGCAUCAGUAGGAAUUUCCUGAGUUCAUUCAUUACAAUAAAAAAACAACUACUAAUGAGAUUAAAGAUCUUCAGCUAUUUGAGUUACUGUGAUAGUGAGAGAUUUUGGACUAAGUUAGAGCAAACAAAAGACAGUAAUAAUUGCAGGUGAACUCUCUGCACUCCUUUACACACACAGACUGAGACAGCACAUAAGCCAGCAGGCAGGUACCUGUAUCACCUCUAACAAAUCAAAGUCAGUCAUGGCCUCUUAUUCUGUCAUUUCAGAAGUACCACUGAUGUCUGCGGGGAACAAGAAAGGAGCGACUUGGCUGGAUGGAGGCCACGUGGAGGUAAAGGAUGAUUAUAUUCUGCUAGCUCUCUCUCUCUGCUGUCAUCUCCCAACAUUUCUCUUCUGCACAAUGACAAUGAGGAGGACGGGUUAGAACACCCGUCACCCUAAUGUCUCCCUGCCUUAUCAUGAGGAGCUCAUAAAGAUCUUCUCUCUUCCCCUCAAGUAGGCCAAUCUGUGUGUCAGGCACAAAAGGGACUGCCCACACACACAAACACACUCAUAAACACACGGAUGUUUUAUGCCAGGAUCACUUGUGGAGCUCCAAAAGUGAACAUGUACAGUCUUGCUCCCUUAAAAAAAUGCAACUCCCAAUGUGAAUGUUUUUUUUUUAUCCUAUUCACACAGUGGCUGUUUUUCUCUAAUGUCAAACUCAAGAUAGACAGCUCAUAGUCCAUUACAAUAAGGACAUUUACAUGAUGUUAAGAAAAAACAUUAGCCUGAGUUAAAUAGCGCUAAUUUCUUAAAGACAGGCUGAUAUCAAGACAAUGCAGUUGAGGAUUGAUUUUCUUCUGCAUGUGUACAUCUCAGUCUGGGCCCAAGCUGGCCCAAACACAAUUCACAUGCAGUGUUUUAACCUGAAGGUCAACUAGCAUAAAUGUGUUGAGGUGAGUCCACAAAGUCUUCCAAAAGAAAUAGAAAGGGAAGUAGAGAAGUUGUAACUAUUGUAUGGUAUACAUGAAAAUUGUCCAUAUUUUCAUCGUUCAACAUUUAACCAACCAGCCUCUUGCUAACUUGUUUGUUGACUGUUUGGGUUUAUGUGACAUUGUACUGUAGGUCAGUGUUGUUUUUGGCAGGCAUUUUAGAUUUAGUUUUAGUCUUAGUCAUUUUGACGAAAUGCUUCUUCGUUUUAGUCCCAUUUUAGUCAUUUCUAUCCUUGAUAGUUUUCGUCUAGUUUUAGUCCGACGAAAACUCAAAAGGUUUUAGUCUAGUUUUAGUCGACGAAAAGGUGCCUUUUGAGUUUCGUGGUGUUCUUUCCCGACAGUUUGAAGCCGCAGCAUGAGGAAGCUGUGGCUCCACAACUGUCGUCUGUCUCGUCUCCCCGUCCCCGUCCAAGACAUUGUGUUUUAUUGUCACUUGGACUGUAUCUGAAGUAAAUCAUCCCUCUUUUUUCGGCCACCGGGCAUCGCUGCUGUGCCUGCCGCCACGGUGUGUGUGUGUGUGUGUGCGCGCCUCGUCCACCUGCCGCUCUGUGUAUGUGUAUGAGUGUGUGCGCGCAGCUGUGCGCGAGCGAGGCUUUUGGUGCCUGUGUGAUGGGGGCGUGACUGUUAGGCCAAAAAAAAAAAACAUGUUUUGAAACUUUGUUCGUCCACCUAAUAACAAUUUAGUCUCGUCCCGUUCUCGUCUGACGAAAAUGAAUACAAUUUUCAUCACAUUUUAGUCUUUACAGAGCUUUGGUGAGGUUCGUCUUAGUCUCAUUUUCGUCAAGGAAAAAAGGGGUCUGACAUUGUCAUUUAAGUUUUCGUCCUGCCUGACGAAAACAACACUGCUGUAGGUCGACUGGGAGACAGCCCUAUGGUAUCCAGCUUAAUGAGGGAAAGUCCAGUUCUAUUGCAUUAUUGAGCUAUGACUCUAGCUUGACUUAAAUUUGCAUGUGAACGCACUUUGUGUUUUUAUUUUGUGCCAUGUUACAGGUGUUAAGUCAUGUAGUUUUAGGUUUUCUGGAAAUCUAGUCAAUUCACUGCGAUGAACAAGGAGAGAGAAAGUCAAGUCAUAAUUCAAAAUCAAGUAACGCUAAUCCAUUGACAAAAAUGGCUAAAUCACUAACAAAAUAAUACAGCUGUUUAGGAAAAUUAGUUGGUGAUGGGGAGUUGGUCUAUUCACAUUUGGUCUAUUUUAAAGUAGUUCUCAUGUAUAACUAGGGUAAUGAUGGCUAGCUGGACAGUUGUGAAGAUAAGGUAUUAACUGUUUUGUGAAGGCUGCUUAUGAAUGAAUGACAAACAAAUAACAUAUUUUAUUUUGAUCUAUAUAUAUACACAUUCCCCAGAUGUUUGACAAUCAGUUGUUUGUAGGGUAAUGAUGGAGUAUUAGGAUGUAGUCUUUAAUUAUUGAAAUUGCAGCCAAAAAUCCACCAACACUCCACUGAAAAAGCAUUUUAGAUUUCUAUCCUGAGUGUGAUUUUAGAAGAUAAUGAUUGCAAUGUGAAACUGGUGAAUUAUUAGUUGUUGAUAAAUUGUAGAUAAGUGAUUUUUUGAAUUAAAUUUCAGUUUGAUUGAACAACCAGCUGUACUGUUGCAAAAAAGAAAAUCAGCCUAGCCCUCUGUGGUGGAGCUCGCUGUCAACAGUUUAAAGGUCCCUGUUUAACCUCUCAUUGACCUGUAACCUUUCACCUCCAACAGCGCUAUAUUCUUAGCAUCUGGUGAUUGAUAAUCAAAGUAGCUUGAUGGCAUUUUUAAUCAAUCUUUUUCAAUUAUUUCCAUGUGAUGCUCCUUUAUGGAUCAAUAAUUCAAUCCAUGGCAGUUCACCUUUUAUUAAAAAAAUCUUCUGUUAGGUGCAAAAUUAAAGUGACUGAAGCUAGCAUCUAUGAUCCAUCAGAUCCAAGCGUCAGAUCAACCUGUGCUUGUCACUGUGUUUCUGCUGUGCAGCUUUUUUAGGUCCUCCACAGACAGACAGUGCCGGGUUGUCACAAAUAUACCAUGUGAAUGGGAGAGAAAAGAGGCAAUUUGGAUCCUCAUUAAAUUUUCAAAAGUCCUGAUGGUCCUCUGAAAAUUGAACCAACUGUUCCAACGCAACCUUAAUUUUAUGCUACAGUAAGUGCAAAUUAGUUUCACAAAAAUUAUUUUUAAUCACACACUGCAGAGUUAAUUUGCUGUGUGGUAAUUUUCCAUGCUACCCCCUUAGUAUCCCACUUAGUCAUGAACCACGAUGACACAUAUGAUCUGUGUUCAAUCCAGGCCGUCCUUCGGUUCAGGCGCAGUGUUUCUCUAGUACCCACUCUGCCAGUACUCUGCCUACUGCAUAAACACAAUGACGGGAUUUCCUUACAGCAACACAGGAGGCCAAGGAUAGCCUUUUAUUAUCGGUAAUAGUGAUCUUACACUGUUAGAUUAUGGUGUUUUUAUAUUACAUUUCACUGAUUGCAGUUAUUUGAUCCUUUUCUUAAUAUUCUUCAUAUCACACAAGAAUUAUGAUGUAUCAUAUUGAUGCAUCCUUAGCAUUUGGGUAUUUAAAGAGUAUGUAAUACUGCAUAAAUUAGCUUGAAAGUUGUCAUAUAUAUUGUGAUUAGAUUCACUAUUAUCUUACAAAACAUCAUGUGUUUGCUUAUAUCCACAGACCCUUCUCUAUAUUCUAUACAGCUUUAGGUCCAUGCAAAUGUAAUCAUUGUGAAUUCACACUUAUAUGACUCAGAACAUAAUUAGUAUUGUGUAAGAUAUGCGGUCCAUUUUGUUGAGCAUAAUUGUAUAUAAGAAAAACAAUACAAGCUGGAUGGAGGGUGCAUGCACAGUAUAUUUAUGGCGCAUGUUUUAUGAACUCAUGUAGAUGCAACACUCAUUCUCUCUGGAGUCUCUCCCUUGAGAAGACAAGACAAAAUGCAUAACUUCAUGUUUACAGACAACACAGGAGAGGGUAAUUAAGUAACGAGAACCAAAGUAAGAGCAAAACACAUGCUGCCUAAAAUAAUAUGGGCUACAACAAAUAACAUUUUGUGUGCUGCAAAGCUCCUGUGAGUUUUUUUUAACAGGUUGUGAAACAGAAUGAUAUUAAUAUAAGUUUGUAUUAGUGCAACAUUCACUUUUAUCUCAACAUUUGAAUUAUACUGUCUUUGGCUUCAAGUCCCUUUUAGAUCUUCAUUGUCACAUUAAGAGAGAUCAAUCACAAAAAGCCCCUGAAAGAGACACAUAAUUAGCAUUUAUAGACGAGUGAACAGCCAUCAAAGUAAAAACUGCAUUUUUCCAAUGUUCUUCCCUAAUAACGUAAUACUUUGACGACAUUUGUCUGAUGUUCUUCUUCUUGAUUGACUGAAACAGAAAGCUCAACCAGCUGCAGACCUCUGUGAGACAUACAAGUGGUGUAGAGCCUUCAGCAGUUCAUGACACGAUGUUCACAUAUUCUCAGUAGGUAAAGCUAAUUUGCAGCCUGUCAUGAACCUGAGACACAGAAACCAGAAUGACCUAUGCUGAAUGAACACUUUAGGGCUUCUUCAUCGUAAGUAAUGAGUCUAAUCUAAAAGUUCCAAAUUAGUCUUGAAUUAAAAGGAAAAAUGAUCGUUCCUGCUUCAGGUUGGUUAGAGACAUUAGUUGAGUACAUUUGCAAGAUCCUUUCCUUUUGAUUCUCUGACUCAAAAUUAAAACUGAUCCUGAUAAGGCAAAGAUGUACACUGUUUAAGAGUGGUGUGAAUAUUUCUUUCAUUUUCUCAUCUCAUUUGAUACAUGAUUAAUGACAUUACUUGGCAAAGUUCAGUAUUUUUCAAACUGAAUGUAAUAACUUUACAAAGAGUUCAUGGUAUUAUGAACAGCAAUUACUCGACUGAUGUGCGAACUUUAGAUAAAACACAACAUUUCUGCUGCUAGACCAAAGACAAAGAAGUCCAUCAUAAAUGACUGUUGCUUCUAAAGCUGUGUUCAUGGUAUAAGAACAGUUAUUUCAGCUGCAUUGGAGCGUUUUCUAAAAGGCACAAUGGCAGCUAAACUGUUUCACCACCCAGUCAACCUUUAGGUUCACUUCAUUAUCACCCUUGCCAGAUUGUGACAGUAGUCUGCCUCUUAUUCUUUGUGAGAAAGGUCAAAUUGAGAAGUGAUUGUACAGUGGCAGAGGUUGGGCCCUUUUAAUAGUUCUCUACUGGGAUGGAAAUUGCAUUGCAUCACCCUUGGUUGUUGAAAAAGUGAGAGGAACAUUGUGUUAAGUAAUUGGCUAGAUGACGGUAUGAAAGGCUUGUGGGAUGUUUGAUAGGGAAAGAAACUGAAAAGAUCUUACUGACACCGAUGCCUUAUUGGUUCUGCUUACUGAUCCAUUUCUUUCUAGAUUCCCUCAUCAGUUCCUGUGGUAAAGAGUAGGCUCAUGCAGCUUUUUAGAGUCAACAACACAAGUGUUAUUUACCCUUACUCUGCUUAGACAGGGUAGCCUGGCUUCUAACCAGGCAUGUACAUGCAAAGUUUCUGCUUCUGAUUGGUCAACAAAUCAGAAUAACAACAGAGACACUAUUUCUAAAAGGUCAUAAACUGUUGAAAAUUACCUUUGUUUUUGAGGGAUUGGAUCCAGACAGUCUCUAUAAAUACAAUCAUCUUUUCUGAGGGAGGAUCCUGUAAAAGAAACACUUUAAUGUUCUAGCCUGAAAGCUGUCGGACUCACUAAGUGAGUGGAUUUUACUGUAAGGUGGGACAUCAAACAUUGUAACUUUAGAGCUGAUGUUGUCAGCACAGCAAUAUUAAUUUGUAUACCAUGGCAUUUUGGACAGCUGCCAUUUUCACUGACUGCCUUUCAGGAUACAUCAUGUCAUUGUUUUGAGGGAAUAGGUGGUAGGCAUGGCUGAGGGAACUUGUAAGGAUAAGGCAAAAUUAUGUCAGUGGCUCAAAGUAGUGAAAAUCAGUUCUGAUCUGUAACUGCUUUAUGAUUGCACUCGGAUCCCCAUCAGCUUACACACAGAACUUUGACUGUAAAUCACUCCCUUUCUGUAUCUAAAUAAAUCUUAAGUUUGGGGUGCAAGUCUCUACCCACAACUUGAAAUCUGGCCCCUCAGAAGAAGUCACAGUACACGGCCACUGACUCCAAGCCUGUCCAUCACAACAGAGGGCCCAACAGAACAAUAAAAAGCCCCCUCGGGAAAUAUGCCAGAUCUCAGAGUUGGCCCCUAUAUGAGAUUUUGUCCUAGAAGCAGCACAUAUGUUCCCUGGGGCGGGAUGAACGGCCCCGCCUGGGAUGAUGGGGAGAGAGAAGGAAAGAGGAUAGAUGAAAGAGGAAAAGGAGGAGGACAGACGAGUGUCUCCAUCUGUGUGUGGAUCUGGGGGGCUUACAGAAGGUUACAUCUCCCCCUGGAGAAGACGGGAGUCCUAGGCAGAUAGCAUCGAACACAGACUGAGUUUCUCUCUUCACUGGCCUUGUGCUCCAAAGCUGCCGUGUUCCAGCUGGUAUUGGUAGCAAAAUGAACAGCCAAAGUAAGUACAUGGCACAGAAACACAUGUGACAUCUAUGUACUUGUGCUUUCCACUGUUGAUUCUCUGUAUUCUGGCUCAAUUAUCAUGGCUCUAACUGCAGAUAUUUAAAGAGCGCAUGUCUGCACUUUGCAUAUUUAUCUCAUGACAGCUUUUUGGAUACAUACAGUCCAUAAUGUCACAGUAACAUAUUUAUCGUAUGUGCUCAUGUGCAUUGCUUGUGUAUAAAUGCACAGCCUUUGCAAUAAACGUGUUUAACUUAUACGCGCUUGUAUUUGUGAGCUUGCGCAUGUAAAUCCAGGGAACUGGCCAUCUCCCUGGCAGACAGUGACCAUCUGGCCAAGGGCUUUGGAGACAGAGCCUGUCUGUUCAGCACUAUAACCCUUAUCCCCAUGCCAUCUCUCAGAUGCCCCUGCCACUCUCUAGGGUCUCCCGUCACACCGGAAGAGGCACUCUGAAAUGUAUGAGAGAUGACAGACGGGGAUGUCUGGCAUGGACUGGACUAAAGAGAGAGUGCAAGAGAGGAGGGAAAAAUUGUCAGACAGCCAAACCAAGCAGACACAUAUCAUCAUUCUAUUGGGCAAGGAUCCAAAUCAAUAUCUUGUUACUGACAAAGGCAGUAGGUUUGAUGUAUGCUGUUGUUCUGUCCUCGGGGUUGAACACACAUCACCGGCCCUGAGGUGUGACUGUCUGCACACACAUCACUUGUGUUAGUGUGAGGCUGUAUAGCUCAUGGCAAGGGGUGUAUGUUGGUUCACUGGCUGCGGCUCAUCACAUAUUUUCAAGUCUGAGUCAGUUUUGUCCCUGGUAGAUGAAAGGCCUCAAAACUAUAAAUCAGGACAUGCAGUUAUUUCCUGUGUGUGUGAAGAUAUGCACAUGGAGAACACACAUGGUGCACAGACAAUCAAGCAGUGUGAGAGGGAAAUAAAGAGAGUACUAGGGCUGUGCUAAAAUAAUCUAGAACUCAGUUUAUGAGGACCAUGCACCAAGGGUAGAGGGGCAUUUGGUAAUGGACUGAGAAAGUAAGUGCCCAUUAACGCUAUGAAAGCACAGGUUACAUGAUUAAAAUAGUUUUCAGCCAACGGGGAUGAUGUUUUUAUUUUCUGAGUCUGAGAGAGACGUUCUGCACAGAGCCUAAUUAUUAAACUUCAGCAUAGCUGAGGUCAAACAAAGAAUAGAAAGUCAACUUCACAGUUUUCUCCUCAGAAAGAAAGAUUUAGUGUGAGGACAAAGAAAUUGGUUUGCUGAUUAUUGUUUGUAAUUAUCACUUUUUAUCCAUUAAUUAUUCUGAUAAAUCCAAGGUGAGCAGCACAGGAGUCCUUAAAAAAAACCACAUCGCUUCAUAGCCCACCUUAAAGGAACUGUGUAUGGUUCAUUGGAUCAUUUCCUAUUAUCACAAUUACUGACUCAUACUGUAUUCUAUCACUUAAUCUCACACUGUCUAUGUCCACAAACUCUGGAUCCCAACUGCACUGCAUUGUGUUGUAUCAAACAUUUCUAUAUUGCAAUAUAAAGUAUUACAACAAAGUUAUCGAAAUGCAUUGUAUCACAGUGCACAAUGUUGCAAAGCACCACAUUACAGUACAGUACAGUACCGUACAAGCAUCAUACUGCAACACAUUCAGUGUUACAUGCACAGCUUAAUCAGACUGAGCGCAUAAUUUGUUUUUUUUUCCGCUGAAUCGGAUUUCUUUCCUUGUCCGCGUAUACAUGCAGCUGAGAAAAUCAAAUUAUUGACGUGAAUGUGUCCUCCUCCCAAAAACUAGGGGGCGAUAUGGGUCUUUUCAGCGGCGCUGUUUCCAGUUGACCCAACAACAACAGCAGGUCCGCGCCAGAUGCUAGAAGUGGCUAAAACUGCUGCUUGGCAUUUUCGAGCAAGAAGAUGGAGCAUCUUACAGUGUUGUUUUUGUCGUACAUGAUGUACAUGCCCCUUUUUCUGCAGAUGAGGUACAUGCUACUCCUCUUCUCUGGUGUUUUUGUUCUGGGGUUACGGGGGCGUGGCGCACGCACACAUGCAUUGUCCGAUCAUACUCUGACUACGCUGGUUACAUGGUAGAGGAAAUCGAAUUCCAAUCUCAAACACCGAUUGGAGUCAGACUAAGGUGUUUGCAUGCACUUCAGUUGUCCGGUUUUAAUCGGAGUAAAGCAGUAAUUGGGUUAUCUCGAGUGUCAUGUCAACGUACUGAUUGUAUCCAAUACAAAGUACUGCAGUCUUUCACACCAUAACUCGUCAUAUCACAGUGCAUCUUACAACACAUAGUACUAUAAUGCAUUGUUGCACAACACAUCACAUGCAAUGCAUCAAAACAUCAUGAUACACCAUUGUGUUUUAACACGUUAUGAUAUUAUUUUGUAUUUGACCAUUGGUUAUACAUCUAAGUGUUACACAUGAAGUCAUGAUUUACUGUAUUUAAAUGCAUCAUGUCCCAGUGGUGCAUACUGUAUCAUAUCAGACACAUUUUAAUUGCAUCGUAUCACAUCUCACUGUAUGUACACAAUGUGUUCCAAGGUCUCAUAAGACAUAACAUCAUACUGUAUUGUAUUGUAUCAUAUAUAAUCUAUAUUUCCAGAUAUAUUCAUUUCAUUGAAUUGUAUCCUAUUUCAUUUUAUUCAUUCAAUCUGUUUGUGGUUUGAGUUUGAAUCCAUGCAGUAAUAGUCAUCUGCUCAUCAGUGCUCAUCUCAGUUUCCAUAAAAACUGCCUCAACUUAGACAUUGUUUGCUAAAUAUUCAGAC